rnacentral:rRNA from 1 species
UACGUAGGGGCAAGCGUUGUCCGGAAUCAUUGGGCGUAAAGCGCGUGUAGGCGGCUGGCUAAGUCCGCUCUGAAAGCCCGGGCUCAACCCCGGGAGGCGGGUGGAUACUGGUCAGCUCGAGUCCGGAAGAGGAGUGUGGAAUUCCUGGUGUAGCGGUGAAAUGCGUAGAUAUCAGGAGGAACACCUGUGGCGAAAGCGGCGCACUGGACCACAACUGACGCUGAGGCGCGAAAGCUAGGGGAGCAAACAGG